CUUCCCCAAAAGAAUGCAAGUCGACGAACUAUCUAAUUAGUAAUCGAGAGGGUAGUUAGUGGCGAAAGGGUUAGUAAUAGAUAGGUAACGUGCCCCGAGCACCGGAAAAGCGUCAUCCCGGGCAACCGGGAUUUCCGAAAGGGUCGUUAAUACCGGAUAAUAUCAUCCAUCGACAGAUGGAUGCUCAAAGAUUUAUCGGCGCGGGAGCGGCCUAUCUUCUAUCAGCUAGUUGGUGAGGUAAAGGCCCACCAAGGCUAUGACGGGUAGCGGGACUGAGAGGUCGUUCCGCAACAUCGGGACUGAGACACUGCCCGGACCCCCACGGGGGGCUGCAGUAACGAAUAUUGGGCAAUGGGCGCAAGCCUGACCCAGCGACGCCGCGUGUGGGAGGAAGUCCUUCGGGAUGUAAACCACUGUCAGGGAAAAGAAAGUCCGCUUUCGGGCGGAUUGAUCUGACCCAAAGGAAGUCACGGCUAACUCUGUGCCAACAGCCGCGGUAAGACAGAGGUGGCUAGCGUUGUUCGGUGUCACUGGGCUUAAAGGGUGUGCAGCGCGGAAAGGCAAGCGUCUUGUGAAAUCACCCGGCUUAGCCGGGGAAAUGCUUGAUGAACUGCCUUUCUUGAGGCGAGCAGGGGUGCGUGGAACUGUUGGUGGAGCGGUGGAAUGCGUAGAUAUCAACAGGAACGCCGGUGAUGAAGACGACGCACUGCUCUUUGCCUGACGCUGAGACACGAAAGCGUGGGGAGCGAACGGCAUUAGAUACCCCGGUAGACCACGCCCUAAACGAUGCAUACUAGGCUGUGGGUGCUCCUGACGCACUCAUGACCGAAGCGAAAGUGUUAAGUAGACCGCCUGAGGCAGUACUGGCCCGCAAGUCUA
rnacentral:rRNA from 1 species